CCCAGACCUCGCGAGCGGGGCUGAAGGGGCUCUUCGCAGAAAGAUGCCUUGAAGUAGAGGAUAAAUGAGACACGAUCAGGACUGGGAGAAGGUCGCUCUAUGGAGAUGGCCUUAACGUGAAGGUACAGCUUGUACUGAAAGUCUACCAACUGACAUUACAGCUCUUCUUGGGUCCCAUGGAAGGCAGUGAGACAGCAAGAGCAGGAGGUAUUUCUGGGUGUCUGUGCUGAAAACGUCUUGUCUGAGGAAGAAGGAAUGAAUUGAAAUGGGGGUGUGAGCCUGGGGGGUAGUGUUUGUAAUGACUGCUGUGUUUCCUGCCCUGACAUGUUAAGCAAUUGUAAGAGUUUCACUGUUUCCAUUACACAUGCAUU